rnacentral:rRNA from 1 species
CUCAGGACGAACGCUGGCGGCGUGCCUAAUACAUGCAAGUCGAACGCUUUUUCUUUCACCGGAGCUUGCUCCACCGAAAGAAAAAGAGUGGCGAACGGGUGAGUAACACGUGGGUAACCUGCCCAUCAGAAGGGGAUAACACUUGGAAACAGGUGCUAAUACCGUAUAACACUAUUUUCCGCAUGGAAGAAAGUUGAAAGGCGCUUUUGCGUCACUGAUGGAUGGACCCGCGGUGCAUUAGCUAGUUGGUGAGGUAACGGCUCACCAAGGCAACGAUGCAUAGCCGACCUGAGAGGGUGAUCGGCCACACUGGGACUGAGACACGGCCCAGACUCCUACGGGAGGCAGCAGUAGGGAAUCUUCGGCAAUGGACGAAAGUCUGACCGAGCAACGCCGCGUGAGUGAAGAAGGUUUUCGGAUCGUAAAACUCUGUUGUUAGAGAAGAACAAGGAUGAGAGUARAACGUUCAUCCCUUGACGGUAUCUAACCAGAAAGCCACGGCUAACUACGUGCCAGCAGCCGCGGUAAUACGUAGGUGGCAAGCGUUGUCCGGAUUUAUUGGGCGUAAAGCGAGCGCAGGCGGUUUCUUAAGUCUGAUGUGAAAGCCCCCGGCUCAACCGGGGAGGGUCAUUGGAAACUGGGAGACUUGAGUGCAGAAGAGGAGAGUGGAAUUCCAUGUGUAGCGGUGAAAUGCGUAGAUAUAUGGAGGAACACCAGUGGCGAAGGCGGCUCUCUGGUCUGUAACUGACGCUGAGGCUCGAAAGCGUGGGGAGCGAACAGGAUUAG